UACGUAGGGUGCAAGCGUUGUCCGGAAUUAUUGGGCGUAAAGAGCUCGUAGGCGGUCUGUCGCGUCGGCUGUGAAAACUCGGGGCUCAACCCCGAGCCUGCAGUCGAUACGGGCAGACUAGAGUCCGGCAGGGGAGACUGGAAUUCCUGGUGUAGCGGUGAAAUGCGCAGAUAUCAGGAGGAACACCCGUAGCGAAGGCGGCACUCUGGGCCGGAACUGACGCUGAGGAGCGAAAGCGUGGGGAGCGAACAGG
rnacentral:rRNA from 1 species